rnacentral:rRNA from 1 species
CCUACGGGAGGCAGCAGUCGAGAAUCAUUCACAAUGGGGGAAACCCUGAUGGUGCGACGCCGCGUGGGGGAAUGAAGGUCUUCGGAUUGUAAACCCCUGUCAUGUGGGAGCAAAUUAAAAAGAUAGUACCACAAGAGGAAGAGACGGCUAACUCUGUGCCAGCAGCCGCGGUAAUACAGAGGUCUCAAGAGUUGUUCGGAAUCACUGGGCGUAAAGGGUGCGGAGGCGGUUUCGUAAGUCGUGUGUGAAAGGCGCGGGCUCAACCCGCAGACGGCACAUGAUACUGCGAGACUAGAGUAAUGGAGGGGGAACCGGAAUGCUCGGUGUAGCAGUGAAAUGCGUAGAUAUCGAGAGGAACACUCGUGGCGAAGGCGGGUUCCUGGACAUUAACUGACGCUGAGGCACGAAGGCCAGGGGAGCGAAAGGGAUUAGAUACCCUUGUAGUC